rnacentral:rRNA from 1 species
UACAGAGGGCGCGAGCGUUGUCCGGAAUCACUGGGCGUAAAGGGCGCGUAGGCGGCUUCUCAAGCGUGUGGUGAAAGUCCGGGGCUCAACCCCGGAUCGGCCGUGCGGACUGGGGAGCUCGAGUUCUGUAGAGGCGGGUGGAAUUCCGGGUGUAGCGGUGGAAUGCGUAGAGAUCCGGAAGAACACCGGUGGCGAAGGCGGCCCGCUGGGCAGAGACUGACGCUGAGGCGCGACAGCGUGGGGAGCAAACAGG